GUUCGGCCGGUCCACUCGCUCGCGUCGCUGGGCAGCCCAGCCCACCAACCACAGAACUUAUCUCUAACCCCACCACUUUCAUCUUAUCCCCUCGCUCUUUCUGGAGACCACACGAGGCAUCCUCGUCCUGCUCGCCCUUCAGUCCCCAAGUUCUCUAUCUCUCCUCUUCCUUCCUGUGUUCUCUCCAAAAUUCACACCUAAUCCCCAUGAAAUUGAGCUCGUUUUUGUUGCCUUCUCUGCUCCGCGCAACAUUUUUCCUCCAUAGAUCCAUGAGAGGGCGUGCAAAGGGCAGGACGACCGUGAUGCAAGCUCGUGCACCCGCUGCGUUACCAUGGUGUGCGACGGCGGAGACCGGUGCCGGCUGGGGCAGCGAUGCAGGAAACGGCACACCUCGUUGCUGGAACCGGCCGACUGAAAAGCUGCAACCGGCAUCCGUUGAUGCUGGAACCAGUAAUCAUUUUUGCUACCACAGGCGUUUGGUUUUGCUGGAACCACCGCCAAAUUUGUAAGUUUGCUACUACUGAUUUCCUGGUUUGCUGGAACAAGCUUGAAUUUUUGCUGGAACCAUAUUCUUUUUUUGCUGGAACCGACCCAUGUUUUUGCUACCACCCACUCACCUCAAAUCUGCUACCAUGGUGAUUUUUUGCUGGAACCAGCGAACCACUUUGCUACAACCGUUUUGGGUUUUGUUACUAUUGUUUGUUUUGUGAUUUUUUGCUACAUCCAUCUUCAUGACAUAGCCUGUUUUUUCCAGUCAAUUUUGCUACAACCAUGCUUUGAUUUUGCUGGAAACGAAGACAAUUUUUGCUACAAUCAUUUUUUGAUUUUUGCUGGAACCGAAGAUAAUUUUUUGCUACAAUUUUUGUUACAUCCACCAGGCGGCGAUGGCUUUCUUUUUGCUGCAACCGUCUCGAAUUUUUUGCUACUGCAGGAGUUGCCAUUUUGCUACUACCAGAGCCUUGCUCGAAGCAUCAGGAGUUUUUGCUACCACCCCCUUUUAUUUUUGUUUCGAUUUUUGCUGGAAUCAGCCUAAAAAUUGCUCCAACCGUCGUUCGAUUUUGCUGGAACCGGCAUUUUUUGCUUCGCCGGUGGCGGUGAAGGCGGGUGGCGUUUUGCUUCGCCAGCGGCGGCUAGGCUGCGAGCACCGGCGGCGAGCAGAAGCAACGAGGGUCCAAAGGAGGGCAGCGGGGGCUAGCGUGCGGGAUCCCGCGAGCGGCGACGGCGCUCGCUCCCCCGCCCCCCCCUUUUUCCCUGUGCGGAGGAUGACAAAAGGGGAUGCGGGACAGAUCUGACAGUCCUGCGCGUCCAGAUCGAGCGGCUCGGGUUGGACCGGCCGAAACUUUUAGUUAGGGUGGUGUAUAUUUAGCCUGUUUUAAAUCGUUGUCGGUGACAAAAACACGUACGAAUUUUUCGCCCUAAUUUGAUCCCGCUUUAAAAGAGAAUACACCCGUGUAGACCGGCCCUCAAAACGGGCAUAGCAUUUGCCCGUGCACGCCGUGACGAGCCGGCCAUCCAACGCUUGCCCCAAAACCUCCGCCCGACGUAGAAACUAAUGUUAAACCAGAUGGAUGGAUAAAUAUCAUGCAAACACAGGGAAAGUGUAGGUCAGAUGGAUUCUCCUUGCUCUCUCGAAAUUUGGUGGAGUUUGAGCGGGGGGAUUUAGAGAAAUCAAGCUUCUAGGGUGUUGGCAAUAGCAACUUAAAAUUAAGGAUUAGGUCUAGAGAUGGAAAACUUGCAACUGCUGCGGUGAGCAUCAGACACGGACUGCACUGAAUUAGCUCCCUCAAAUUCAGUGGGCUGAUCUGAUGAAGACGGCAAAGGCACCCAACAGAGAGAGCGGUUUUCAGCCGACCAAAUCACCAGGAAUAUAAACUAAUGGGAGAUUUGUAUACAUGCAGCGAAAAUUAGAAAUUCCAACCUGGAGGUUUUUCUGCCACUGGCUAUGCAGGAAGGAAAACAGAGCACACUGCUCCUCCUUGAUGGCGCCCGCCCUUGUCGCUGACAGAGAUACCGUCCAAGAACUUGCCUCAGGCAUUGAACUGCUGCUGUAUAAAGACUGGUCAUUGUUCAGAUGCUAGAAUUGCUUGGGGGAGAAGGAUCUGUAUAGAACAUCUGUAUCGCAAAUUGUCGCCAAAACUGGGACACUGGAACAAGCAGCUAAGUGCAGAAGCAGGCAUGCAUGGGUCGUUGCUGAACACACAAGCAGACAUAUAUGUAUCGCAGUGAACAAAGAGUGUGAUCUCACUACCAAUGAACACUCAACAUCCUGAAUCUUAUGCAUUGCGGCAAAUUCUAAGCACAUCUAAUGGUGUAGUUUCGGCAAAGCGCUUGGUCCUAUUUAAGACAUUUACACAGACACCACAGGGAAAAAAAAUCGGAAAACUCGCCUAUGCCGGUCCGUUAUAAGUUCUUUUUCUCAGGAUAUCAAAUACAACACGCAUUCCAGACAGUGUCUGCCUUUGCUCCCUCUGAAGAAUCAGCAAGCCGCAUAGUAACGAGAUGAUAUGAAUCAAUUGUUGGAACUUGGAAGUGAUCAUGCAUUUCUGACGAAAAUAACUAUGCUAUGGCCCAUGUGGUUACCGGCCCGGACCCGUCCAUGAGGCCCUAAUCCAAGCCGGCCCAGGUCGUAGAUAACCGUUGCCGCCGUCUUCUCCCUUCCUUCGCCCCUCUCCUCUCCCACCUCGAUCGCCGCCGUCGAGCGCCGCGCCUCCCACUCCCAGCCUCGCCGCCGCGACCGACGACGCGGCCCUCCUCGGCUCCCGCUUCGAAGCCGACGGGCUCAAGCGCCUCCUCCCGCAGGUGGUCGAGGACGUGGCGGCGCAGUCACGGGGGGUGAAGACGAUCUUUCUCCUCCUGCAUAAGCUCUAAGAUGCUAUGGCUAGACAUGGACUGGUCGUCCUGGAUAGCGUGGAUUCAGUUCAUGCACCCAGGCUGAAACUAGUGUUGAGUGUCAAACAGCACGUUGCUUUGGCAUUACAUUGAUGAAUAUUCGGGGUUUCUGAUAG